CUGAGUAUCGUGGUGUUCAUGUUCGUGGUUCCUGUCCUUUGAUGUCCUGGGGUCUUGGUGGUGUCCUUAGUUCCAGUGUGUCCAGGGUCCUGUGUAAACAACAAGAAGAAUGUUACUGAUCCAGGAGAGGACCUUCCAUCUUAUCCCAGGACUCCUUACUUCGCUUUAGAGCCUUUGGAGAUGGACCCUGUCAAAGGGUUUCUGAAAGUCCAAGUAUGCUAUCUACUGGAUCACGCUCGUCCACAUGUUUCUUGACACUUUCAAAGAAUUCUAAUAGAUUGUGUGGGGGGAGGAAGAGAUGGGGUGAGGAGAAGACAGAUGUUUCUGAUUUUCGCUUCUCUGGACUACACUGCAGAGAUGUAAGAUGGAAUUUGACACUGAGUAUCUGAAGCAAAGUUACUAUACGUCCUAAUCACAAAACAACUACAUGCAGUAUAUUCUUUCCUGAAGGCAUUUGUUGCGAUAAAAUGAAUCAAGUGUGUCUUGCAAUCUAUUAAUCCUGUCCA